AGUGAACGCUGGCGGUAGGCCUAACAAAUGCAAGUCGAACGGCAGCACAGUAAGAGCUUGCUCUUACGGGUGGCGAGUGGCGGACGGGUGAGGAAUACAUCGGAAUCUACUUUUUCGUGGGGGAUAACGUAGGGAAACUUACGCUAAUACCGCAUACGACCUACGGGUGAAAGCAGGGGAUCUUCGGACCUUGCGCGAUUGAAUGAGCCGAUGUCGGAUUAGCUAGUUGGCGGGGUAAAGGCCCACCAAGGCGACGAUCCGUAGCUGGUCUGAGAGGAUGAUCAGCCACACUGGAACUGAGACACGGUCCAGACUCCUACGGGAGACAGCAGUGGGGAAUAUUGGACAAUGGGCGCAAGCCUGAUCCAGCCAUACCGCGUGGGUGAAGAAGGCCUUCGGGUUGUAAAGCCCUUUUGUUGGGAAAGAAAAGCAGCAGGUUAAUACCCCGCUGUUCUGACGGUACCCAAAGAAUAAGCACCGGCUAACUUCGUG
rnacentral:rRNA from 1 species